AUACGGAGGAUCCGAGCGUUAUCCGGAUUUAUUGGGUUUAAAGGGAGCGUAGGCGGACUAUUAAGUCAGCUGUGAAAGUUUGCGGCUCAACCGUAAAAUUGCAGUUGAUACUGGUCGUCUUGAGUGCAGUAGAGGUAGGCGGAAUUCGUGGUGUAGCGGUGAAAUGCUUAGAUAUCACGAAGAACUCCGAUUGCGAAGGCAGCUUACUGGACUGUAACUGACGCUGAUGCUCGAAAGUGUGGGUAUCAAACAGGAUUAGAUACCCUGGUAGUCCGCACAGUAAACGAUGAAUACUUGUUUUCGGCGAUAUAAUGUCGGAGGCAAAGCGAAAGCGAUAAGUAUUCCACCUGGGGAGUACGCCGGCAACGGUGAAACUCAAAGGAAUUGGCGGGG
rnacentral:rRNA from 1 species